UGCCCUGUAGCUCAGUCGGACAGAGUGCCCCGCUACGAACGGGGAGGUCCCAGGUUCGAGUCCUGGUAGGGCAG
rnacentral:tRNA from 1 species